rnacentral:rRNA from 1 species
UUUCGCAAUGCCCGAAAGGGUGACGAAGCGACGCCGCGUGGGGGAAGAAGGCCUUCGGGUUGUAAACCUCUGUCAGGAGCCAGGAAAUGCAGGGUGUGAAUAUCGCCCUGUUUGACUACAGCUCCAGAGGAAGCCAUGGCUAACUCUGUGCCAGCAGCCGCGGUAAUACAGAGAUGGCAAGCGUUGUUCGGAAUCAUUGGGCGUAAAGCGCGCGUAGGCGGCCUAGCAAGUCGGAUGUGAAAUCCCCUGGCUUACCCAGGGAACUGCAUUCGAUACUACUAGGCUUGAGGACAGGAGGGGAGAGUGGAACUCCUGGUGGAGCGGUGAAAUGCGUAGAUAUCAGAAGGAACACCGGUGGCGAAGGCGACUCUCUGGCCUGUAUCUGACGCUGAGGUGCGAAAGCUAGGGGAGCAAACGGGAUUAGAUACCCCGGUAGUCCUAGCCGUAAACGAUGGGCACUAAGUAGAGGGGUU